CAGUCGCCGCGGGAAUACGUAGGGCGCAAGCGUUAUCCGGAAUUAUUGGGCGCAAAGAGCUCGUAGGCGGUUUGUCGCGUCUGCUGUGAGAUCCCGAGGCUCAACCUCGGGCCUGCAGUGGGUACGGGCAGACUAGAGUGCGGUAGGGGAGAUUGGAAUUCCUGGUGUAGCGGUGGAAUGCGCAGAUAUCAGGAGGAACACCGAUGGCGAAGGCAGAUCUCUGGGCCGUAACUGACGCUGAGGAGCGAAAGGGUGGGGAGCAAACAGGCUUAGAUACCCCAGUAGUCCCUGUCUCUUAUAA
rnacentral:rRNA from 1 species